rnacentral:rRNA from 1 species
CCGACGGUGAGAGGUGAAAGCUGGGGGAGCAAACCGGAUUAGAUACCCGGGUAGUCCCAGCCGUAAACGAUGUGCGUUAGGUGUAUCGGUGACCACGAGUCACCGAGGUGCCGAAGAGAAAUCGUGAAACGUACCGCCUGGGAAGUACGGUCGCAAGGCUGAAACUUAAAGGAAUUGGCGGGGGAGCACCACAACAGGUGGAGCCUGCGGUUUAAUCGGACUCAACGCCGGGAAACUCACCAGAUAA